CAGACAUGCAAGUCGAACGAUUAAAGCUCUCUUCGGAGAGUGCAUAGAGUGGCGCACGGGUGAGUAACACGUAAGUAAUCUACCCUCGAGUGGGGAAUAACGUCCGGAAACGGACGCUAAUACCGCAUAAUGCAGCGGCACCGCAAGGUGACAGUUGUUAAAGGAGAAAUUCGCUUGAGGAGGAGCUUGCGGCAGAUUAGCUUGUUGGUAAGGUAACGGCUUACCAAGGCUACGAUCUGUAACCGGUCUUAGAGGACGGUCGGUCACACUGACACUGAAUAACGGGUCAGACUCCUACGGGAGGCAGCAGUCGGGAAUUUUGGGCAAUGGGCGAAAGCCUGACCCAGCAACGCCGCGUGAAGGAUGAAGUAUUUCGGUAUGUAAACUUCGAAAGAAUAGGAAGAAUAAAUGACGGUA
rnacentral:rRNA from 1 species